UACGUAGGGGGCAAGCGUUAUCCGGAUUUACUGGGUGUAAAGGGAGCGUAGACGGCAUGGCAAGUCAGAUGUGAAAGCCCGGGGCUCAACCCCAGGACUGCAUUUGAAACUGUCAGGCUGGAGUGCAGGAGAGGUAAGCGGAAUUCCUAGUGUAGCGGUGAAAUGCGUAGAUAUUAGGAGGAACACCAGUGGCGAAGGCGGCUUACUGGACUGUAACUGACGUUGAGGCUCGAAAGCGUGGGGAGCAAACAGG
rnacentral:rRNA from 1 species